UGGCACAUGCUAGAAACCAAAGGAGCUAUUGUCUGAUCACUCGAUCAAUAAGUCACAAUAUGAAACAAACAAAACCCCUCAAAGAGAACAACUCUGCUUUCAGUUGGGACUGGGACCAAAGAAAGGAAGAAAUGAAGGAAGCAAGUAGAUCAUACACAGGCUUUGCAUUUGGUGGCCACUGGGCAUGUGAUGCCAUUACCCAGGUUGUCCAAAAUGUCCUGAGUGCCCAGUGACGGAGAUGUUUCAGCUGCUACUGGUUAGUGGAAAGGAAUUGUCCUCUAGGAAGAAGCAAUUUCCAAAGCCGGGAAAUGCUGCUGACCAUGCUGGGAGCGCACAGGAGCUGUCAAGGAUGAAGAAGCACCAGAUGAAAAGCACCAAGGGAUUUUGUCUGCAAGAUGCUGACCAUACUCCCAAGG